rnacentral:rRNA from 1 species
GGUAGUAAUGCCUAGGAAUCUGCCUGGUAGUGGGGGACAACGUUUCGAAAGGAACGCUAAUACCGCAUACGUCCUACGGGAGAAAGCAGGGGACCUUCGGGCCUUGCGCUAUCAGAUGAGCCUAGGUCGGAUUAGCUAGUUGGUGAGGUAAUGGCUCACCAAGGCGACGAUCCGUAACUGGUCUGAGAGGAUGAUCAGUCACACUGGAACUGAGACACGGUCCAGACUCCUACGGGAGGCAGCAGGC